UUUUUGCAAGCAUGGUCUUCGCUUGUAUGGCAUCUCAUAUCAAAGUCCAUGCUAUGCAUGUAGCUGUUGGGAUCAUGGAAAGUGGUGGCAACAACACUGGAUGACUUCGAUUUGGUGGUGCAUCUCAAGCAUCGGUCUUGAGCUCUGGGGUGAAAACCUGAAUUUUGACCUAUUUGUUAUAUUUGGAAGUGGCGAUGUUUAUUGUGUCGUUACCUUGCUGAAGGCAUUGCUAGGACUUGUUCUUCGUGGUGAAAACACAUGAUCAGGCCUUGGUUGACUCCGGCGACAACGGCGCAUGAGCGUUGUUCCCUUCCUAAAGGUAUUGCUGUUGGAGAAUCCCUCUUGUGGUACUAGUGAUUUCACUUGAUUGUUGGCGCGGAUAUGGUUGUUGAUGUAGAUUGUUUUGAUUGUUUCAGAGUUUUUUCUUUUCUUUUACUCCUCCAAGGCAUAACUUUGGUCUUAUUUGACUAUGCUAGAUGCCGGUGUGAUUUAUGUGUGUGUGUUGGUGUUGAAUGCGUGCAUAAUAACUAUGCAAAGCCCGAGUGUGUUGGCCAUUGUGUUUGUAUCCCCAGAUGCCCCAUUUUAAGCUAAUAAAAAUCCACCCUUACCACCACUAGCAUUUGGUGUUGAUUAUGGCGUGUGAACGAUAACCACAUAUCACCUGGUUGUAGUAUUUCCUCACAAGUUACAUAAGUUUGCCUACGAGGACAACUACACUCUGCUCUUGUUUAAGAAGAUCCACCAUUCAGGCAACAACAUUGUCAACAUGCAAGUUGCAUCAGUUUGCUCCUUGCAAUUAGCGCGUUUCUUAUUCAUCUACACGCCCUUUGAUGUACUCGAUCGUACACAAGCAAUCCGACUGAUUGGUUACCGGGCAACAAAAACUCUACUCUAGUGUUGUAACUUGUGAUAAAUGUCCUCAUCAAAGAAAUGUUAAGAAUAGAGAUUCCGUAGGCACGCCACUAGAGGACGAUUUCCAUCCCUACACAUAAAUUAAUUUAAAGUCGCGCAAUCCUGUAAAAAAUAAACAAUUUAAAGUCGCACAAAAACAAGCAAGGAAUGAGACAAAUGGCGACCAGAACCAUUCGUAAUCUAAUCAUUAUCAUCAUCAUCAUACAUAUAGCAUAGCGUUUUCCAAUCAGCAAUCGGAUAACAUCAUCCCCAACAACCAACACAAUGCAUGGCCCACCCCUCCCAAAAAAAAUGUUGAUCUUGUUUGUCCAACAAAAAGUAAAAUAAAUCAUGCCUGUAACAAUUAGGACUCUCUGAAUUUAUCUACCUGUAACAACUCUGUGGUAUAUAUGGUGAGCAGUCCCUACCUCUACCUGACCUGCUGCUAAAAUCUUCACAUACAGCUUCUUGCUUUUGCUCAAGGCUGAAUUACUUUUGCUGCUGUCUGUCCUGCCUGAUACAUGAUGCAGUUAGUUGCAUGUCCACACCACUCCUCUUGACCUCUUCCCAUCAUUUUCUCCUUCUUUUUCUUUGAAAAGCUCCCAGUGUCACAAUCCACAUCAUGAAUAAAUAUGGGUGAUGCUGCAUCACCAGUAUCUAUAUAUGCUUUUUAUCCCUUCACUGGCAAGCACUACCUGUUCCUUUGCUUGUGUACUUGCGUCACACACCCCCACACAAGCCUGAUCUGGUGUACACUAGCUGAGGACAUGCCUUUUGCCUGUGGCAUACACAUGACACGAUGAUGGCAACAUAUACUGUCUACUGUACAUGCUGGCUGCACAUUCUGCUUAUUCCUUCUGGAUUGAUUGCUCCUGUUUUCUUCCCUGUUAUCACACAUGAAAGCAACUACAUCAUACAUGGCCUCUGAAUUUUCUUUCUUAUCCUACCUGCCUGGGGGGAAACAGAGCUACUUCUCGCCGUCCCUGUCAUCAUCGGUCCACAACCAUCAUCAUCAUCGUCGUAAAUUCAGCUGGUUGCAGUACUCAAGGCCCACGGACGGCGGCUCUAAGCUCACCGGUUACAACUGGUAGAUUCUGCACCAUCUUAACAUGCAUAUGCAUGCCACCUGCAGUCAUCUUCUUGCUUCCCUGUUUUUCUUUCUUCAAGAUGUAUAGAAUCUGCACAUUCAUUCAACAAAUCAAGCUAUCAUCACUCGUUUCAGCCUCCAGGUUCGCGGGGUACGUACCAUUGCCAGCAGAGGAGGAGCAACAUUCAGUCGCUUCAUACCACAAGGUACCAAUUUGGACAGAGCAGUGUACUGAUCUGUGACACUCUCAAAAGGCCCAUAUGGGGAAUAUGUUGCAAUAAGCCAUGAAACACAAAGAACCAUUUUUCAAGAAGCUUCCGGUCAUUUUCUACAUAACAACAAACAAAUUAUAUUAUUAUUAUUAUUAUAGCAUUAAAAAANNNNNNNNNNNNNNNNNNNNNNNNNNNNNNNNNNNNNNNNNNNNNNNNNNNNNNNNNNNNNNNNNNNNNNNNNNNNNNNNNNNNNNNNNNNNNNNNNNNNNNNNNNNNNNNNNNNNNNNNNNNNNNNNNNNNNNNNNNNNNNNNNNNNNNNNNNNNNNNNNNNNNNNNNNNNNNNNNNNNNNNNNNNNNNNNNNNNNNNNNNNNNNNNNNNNNNNNNNNNNNNNNNNNNNNNNNNNNNNNNNNNNNNNNNNNNNNNNNNNNNNNNNNNNNNNNNNNNNNNNNNNNNNNNNNNNNNNNNNNNNNNNNNNNNNNNNNNNNNNNNAUAGAUCGAAAACAAGCAUGGAGAGAUCAGUUGUCCUAUCAACCUGUGCAGGUGCAAAAUGAGUAGAUGUGAACCGACAAAUGUUUCAAAAUGUAACAAGGCCCUAGCUAUAAUACAGAUAUGAUGGGAGUGUUGCAUAAUUAUGACAGGAAGAGAAUAACUUAUACUCUUCUCAACCUCUUUAUCCCUUUCCUCCUCAAUUGACUCUUGCCUUCUGUCACAUACAAGCCCAGAGCCAAAACAAGCAUAUGAGAUACUCUAGUUAAACUGAUAUCAUAAUUGAGAAGAAAUUUAUGCAUGCAAACCUUCUUCGAAAGGUCUUUGGACGAUAUGCUGAAGUACCAGCCUCUGCAUUCAGUUUCACAUGAAAACUAUGAUAAGAGAUUUUUAAAAGGGCCAACUCAUAGGAACUAUAAAAUACAGGAAGGAGAAUAAAAACUGUUCUAGCAGAUCUGGGCCGGCCCUAAUAUUUUGGAGGCCCUAGUGCGAAUUUUAUACAAUGGAGUGUAUAAUAGAGUAGAAGUAAUACUUUCAUCAGUAUAUAUUGCAUAUCAUGAAAAUCAUUAUUAAGUUAUAAUUAUAUAUAUAAAGUGAUUUUAUUUAGGAAAUGAGGUCUUAAUAUACCAUGUAACUGUGAUUAAAUGAUACAGAUGAUGAUUAUAACAUACAUAUACUCAACCAUAAGCAACCAUUGAACAAAUAUAUUGUGGUGUCAUGCCGGGGAAGGAGGGCAAGGAUCCCCCUAAAUAUGGGGGGGUAAGCCCCCUCCCACCCCCUCCCAAAAAAAUAUAUAUAAAUGAGCAGCAGGCCAAACCCCAUAAUUCUAACUUAACUAUUCAUUCAUGGUUGAUAGAGUUAAAUAUCCAUGAGCAAAGUUAUCCUUUGUGUUGACGUGUUUUGUAAAAAAAAAAGUAAUGUAUUCAUGCAUGUAGAUGUAAUGAGCCCUUAUUUGAGAUGGGCCAUAGGCCGUCGCACUGUAUGUACUUAUCCCUUGCUCCAUGUUCCAACAAGUCCGUCAGAUUCUUCCCUCCUCUGAUUGUGGCAUCAUUAUGGCCGGGAUUGAGGUGUCACUGUCACUGCGGACCAUCUUAUAAUGUUCUGCAAACCACCUUACAAAGUUCUGCAAACACAAAGUUAACCAAAUGGGUUACUGCCUCCAAAGGAACCGGGCAUGCCUACCAAAAGAGGACACAAAGUUUUGGUUUAAAGUAUAAGAUACAUGCUUUCAGAGUUUGUUUGCAUCCACACAUGUUUGAACAUGAGCGGCCCAAUGUGCCACUGUAUUUGCAUUUGCAAUGUCCUGAAAAUUUUGGGUUUGAAUGAUUGUUCCAGUUCCAUAGAUGAUCAUGAUGUUCGUAAGAAUAGAAUACCAUUAGCUCAGUCUUAUGUAAAAUUAAGUAAUCUAUUGUUGAUACAAAACUGAUUUCCAUGACAAAUCGUAACUCGCAUGUUUUCUCCCUCCAUAAACUAAUAUAAAAGCGUUUACGUUUACAGAGGGAGUACAUGCAAUGCACGUUAAUAUUAGACAAUAUUUUAUCUGAUGAAAUAUUAGGCAAUAUAUUAAUUGCUUCACACACUAAUAUCUGUUAAGAUCUUAGUUGCACGUUGAUAAUAUGUAGUAUUUAAUUAAUUGGAUGACGCUCACAUUGACAUUAGGUAUACUAUUAAUUAGAGGAGGGUGCUAAUCUUGUUUAGUACUAAACACGGUUAGCGCUAAACACCAUGGCAACAUAGACCAUUGGAUAGAGCGGUUGAACGGAUGAGAUAUGUUGGAUCUCCACAACUCGCUCUUUUUGUGUCAAGUUAAAUGAGGACAACCUAAAUCAAACACAAAUCUGGCUACAGCUAAUUUAACAUUUCCACGAUGCCGCACAGUUCACGCAACAAAGGAGCAUCAUGUCAGAUCCACUGAUUAAUUAGAUCCAAGGAUGACUGCUUUUGAGUUUAAACCCUGUCUGACCACAUAUCAACUUCACCGACUAAAUUUUCCUGUCUUCUUCCAUAGUUCCACAAGUGAGGCAGUUCACCUCUUAUCCAGCCAAGCACAACAAUAAGCCCUGGUGUGAAAAUAAGCGAAUACAUGCAUCGGUGGCGCUGAUCGUGUAAAAGGGAGUAGGUAAAGAUGAGGCAGCAAAGGAACAAUUUAUAUGCUUACCUAGGGUGCAUGGUACUAGGUACAUCAUCGCUGGUUGACCAUGUCCAUCCAUUAGGAAGAACCCAAGACAGGCAAGGAAAAGGCCUGCAAGGGUAAAAGGAAAAAUGAAAAUCUGGGUUCUGCACUACAAAGCAAUGAAUUGUGUUAACAAACACAGGAUUUCAAAUUACGCCGGAGUCUGCGGUUUACAGAGUUAUAGUAAGAAAAAUACGUAUAUCUAUUGCCUGAAGACAAAGAAAGACAGUAACUUCCAGGCAGAACAGAACGCGGAGCAAGAAAAUGGAAACAACCAAUCAGUCACAGGCAGUCACCACCAUGUGCGCCUAGAUGCCAUAACAACAGCAGUGCCGUACUAUGUACUGCUUGAAUACACUGAGCCCUUUUAUAGUGCAGUGCUUGUUAAGCCUAUCGGUUAUAGACUCGGUGUUCGUGCCAAAAAAUUAGAACUGUCCUAAAAAAUGGUUAGUUAUCAAAGUCCACUAUUUUGCUGGUACCCAAAUAAUCAAAUAUGACGGGCCACUGUGAAGUUCACAACUAAAAUGAACUGUUAACGGAAAUUGCGUAACCAGCCCAUGAACAUAAGCAAUACCACAACAGACACACAACAUAGAGCGCUAACAUCUAACUGGUCAACACAAAUAUAAUAGAAAACAAGAUGUAUCAAAUGCUUACCAACAACAUAUCCCAUGGUCAGCCAUAGAAAAUAUCCAUUGAAGAUACCUUUUUUGGCUGCCCUGUCAAAUCUGCGCCGUAUACCAAAGUGAUGAUGUAUCAUUAACAAAUGGCGUGGACCUCUGAGACAACAGAGUUCUUAUUGUGCUAGAAAACAACAAGGGUCCAAGCAUUCACUAUAUGAAGAUGAUAUGUAUCUAUGUUUGAGAUAAGCAAGAAGAAUCGAUCUUAGUAUCUCCCAAAUAUUCUACAUCUCAACCUAUCUUCAGCACGGUAGUUAGUGUGUUUCUUGAGACCUUCAUUGCGUUUAGCAUGAAUGGUACUACCAGACUAGCAGGCAAUAUUUAAGUAUGUUUCUUCUAUGUCUACCCAUUAGUGAACUAACGAGUUACAGAUUAGAUGAAAACCCAUAAACAUAUAUUGCAGCAUUGCAUAGAGUACCUGUAGCUGAAUGCGAUGAGAUGUCCAGGGGAAAUAAUAUCACCAAAGCCUAACAUGGCAUAUCCACCCAAUGGAUCAAAGAAAUGAGGUAUUCUUAGGAGCAUCGGAAUCACUUCCCCUGAGCUGCACCACUUGCAACCUGGGAGCUUUCAUAAGAUGGUAAGUAAAAAAAAAACAAUCACAAGUCACAGCACAUAAGAGAAUAAGAUAGGUUACUAAACAUAAGCAUUUGCUGGACAAUGCAUUUAUUUAGUUUCAAAUUAUAACCACAAAAAAUAACAUUUCACUAGUUUCAAGUCCGAACAUUUGCCUCCUAAACAUAUCAAUUUUUAUACGGGUCAUAAGAGAACCAGAUUAGAUCAUAACACUGAAUAUUUUAACAAUUCACUCAGUUUCAAGACAAGCUGCUACCAAUUCUCUCAUAUUCCAAAGGUAUUUAAGAAGUGAAUCCUUCUCUUUAUUUUACAACCUCCAGAUGCCUUUUUUUGUGAAGAAGCAAGAGUAUUCCUUUUUGGGGGAAAUGGCAUAUCUUAUUUUCUAAAAAUGGUUUCAUCAUGCAGUUGCAAGACUAUUCCUUUUCUUUUUUGCGAAGAAGCAGGACUAUUCCACUGAUUGAUUUAACUAGAAAAUCUAUCGUGCAAAUUAAUACACAGAACUAAAGCAUGGCUGAUAGUAAGUAUUGAUGUAAAUGUAAAGAUCAAGAUUGCACUUACUGCAAGCAUAACACUCUCAUGGAAUAUAAGAGGUGAAAUGAAGACCCAGAAGAUGUCAUACACAAAUGCACCACCAAGAAGAACCGAUGCAACCUGCAAAGAUAGAGUCUUAGAUAUUACUACAAGCAGGAUACGACGACAAUCAGUUGACUACAGCAAAUAGACAUGCUAAUACCCUGAUAUUAGGUAAAUGCUCCUUCUGAAUUAUGUUUAUCAUCCAGCAGAUACCCUGUGACAAUUACACAGAUUGCAUGGUUAAUGUAUGUAUUUUUUCUCAAAGGUCCAAGGCUGCAAGCUAAUUAAACACAUUGCCAGAAGAAAAUUUGCAUCCCAAGUAACAAAUUAUAUAAAAAAAAGGGUAAAGAAAUGACGUUCUCUACAUUACGGAAACUAUUCCACAACUUAUAAUGUAAUUCUCAAAUAACAUGCAUCAAGCUUGGAAACUGAAUAUGUGAUGUCCAAAAUCAAACAAAUGAUGCAAGGUGUGAAAUGAAGAUAAUCUCAUCAACUCCUUAAGUCCUGGGUAGAUCACUUUCGAGUCCCUCCUAAGAUUUAGUGAAAAUGAUAAUUUUGUCAACAUUUUACUUCUGAUCUCCAUCUGUAUAGUUCAUGGACGAAAACUAACAUGUGAAAUCUAGGAAACCUAGUGCAAACUUGCACAUCUAAACAAAAAUCAGUUCAGCCCAUAACUAAUAUAAAUGCAUUCAUGUUAGAUAAAUCAUGCUUAAGCUUGUGGCUUAUGGUACUUACCUUGUUAGGGCUAAAAACUGAAUAUGGUCAAUAAUAAGUUGGAUUGACAUUUGAUGUAUGAUGUGAAAACUUGCAUUGCAAAUACACAGCUGCUAGUGUAAUAAUAGAAGGCCAGUUCUGAAAUGUACUUACUUACUUACUUACUUACGAAGCCUUUUAUCCCAAACAAGUUGGGGUAGGCUAGAUAUGAAACCCUUUCACGAGGACUUCCCAGGAGGUCACCCAUCCUAGUACUACUCUCGCCCAAAUGGGUUUCAUACCCAAAAGACUGGCCAGUUCUGAAAUGUACUUUAACUAAAAAACAGCAUCAAAUUCUUUUGAAGAGAUUGACCUUACUGCAAUGUGUAAAUUAUAAAACAAAUCACAGUUUAGCUGAUCCUACUAGGAAAAUGGAACCUCGAUCCGCACUGAAUUUGGACAUGCUAGUUUUAAGUUAUGAACUAAAGUGAUAGUAAACAUGUUGCAUGCUUACAGUUGCUUCUGAACUAAAGUGGAAAGAAUAGAACUAAGGGGGUGUUUGGAUGAAGGGUAUUUCCCCGUGAAGAUUAAAAACAUAGCAAGCAAACAUAAGAAUAAUAAUCAAUCCAACUUACAAGGAUGUCUUGACCUAUCCAAGCAAACGAAGAAUGCCGAUAAGCAGCCCAUAGAAUGGCAAAUACCGUACAGAAUGGUGCCACUCCAAGAGACAAGGUUAAGACCUCCCCGUACAACGGCAAUUGUACAGUAUUAUUUCUCAAAUCCUUGUAAAUCCUGGAAACAGGGCGCACAAGAGGCACAGACAACGAGUUAAGAACUAAAAUAAAGAGCAUUGAAAAACUUGCUUAAUGUAAACUAUUUCAUGCAUUACCUAGAGAUAAUUGUCACCAAGCAAACAUGCAUACCCUGAAAGACACAAAACAGAAACAAACUCACAACCGAAUACCAAUAUAAAAAACUAAACAAGCACUUCAAUAACCAAGCGCCAAGAGAAGUAUUUGUACGGAUAGACAGGCCUUGUGAUCAAAAGAGUGCAAAGAUAGAUAAUAUACGAGGAAAUACCUCAAUACCACCAAUGCAGAACAAUACAAUGAGUAGCCAGGCGACCCAAGACGACAUGAAGUAGAACAGGAGAAGGAAAACUGAACAUAUUACAAUUUGAAAACCAGCUCUCUUUGCGGUGAUUUCAAUGACUUGUUUAUCUUGUCUGUUGUUUGUUCCAGAAUUCGGUCCCUGCUGUUUAGUAUGAAACGAAGAAAUUCAUUAGUCAAAAACUUAACCAAGUGAUCAACUGAAAACUACUACUCAUUAGCUAGAAACAAACCCGAUAAAAUGCACAUUAUUCGUUAUCUUAAGAAUCAUAAGUACCAAGUGUGCCUCACAGCAAGAUAAGUUAUUUUUUUGUGCAGAUGCAGAAAUGUUAUAAAGCCAGGGCAAACAAAUCUGCAGAUAACGUAUAAUCAAGCAACGACCAUAUAUUCUAUAUUACAUAAUCCUAUUAACGGCUCAUCCCUGUUCCUACACGCGAUUUAUGGGUUGGUAUGCGUAUGAAAAAAAGCUAGUAAAUAGCAUAGCAUGCCAUAGAGUCUGGAUAGGCAGAAAAGUGAGAACCUGCCAUGUCAGCUGAUUAUAACGCCCAUCAAUCUGUUGGCAUGCAACGAAUUCACCCCAGAGUGAGGAGCAGACUAUAGUUCCUACGGCCAUUAUGAACAAGAAGCAUAGUGAAGGGUCCACAACCGGACGACUUGGCUCAUUAAUUGAAGGAUCACUGACACUGCAAACCGUCUUAUGAAGUUCUGCAAACAGAAAGUUAACCAAACAGAUUAUUGCCUGCAAAAGAACCAGGCAUGCCUAGCAAAAAUAUUGAACAGGAGUACGGGACAGAGAAUAUAAUUUUUUCAGGCCGUCCUUUGAAUGAAUACCUUGGUCAUCAGCAGGCUGUGCAGUUUCCGCUUCAGCGGUGAGAGCACACUGUCCACAUGUCGGUAAGGCAACAGAAACCGUUAACUGCAACAGCAAGGGUUAGAUUAGAUUAGAUUAGAUUAGAAGAUGCCUGCAGAACCAACUUGGUUGCGAAGUUAUGUCGGAUUCAGAGUCGAAGCAGAACCUUUGAGGCUGUAUUGGAGCAGCGGUCAAGAGGGUAGGUGAGGGCAGCGCAUGUUCCCUGAGCCUCGUUGACAGUUGUGGGCAAGGUGGCUCCGAAUGUCGUGCUCUUUCCAGUAACGGCCGUGCCCUGGGUUCCACUCACCCAGUUCUUCUUCACCUUAACCUAGGGAAAAAGAAAACCUGGGAACAUGAGAAAGAAAGAAAAUCGGGGGGCGCGGCAGUAUGUUGCUUUCAUUUAAGAUUUGGACCAGACAAUGUGCAUACACACACACACACACACACACUCUGAAGUGUGACAAGACAACAUGCCAGAAAAAUCUUUUAGGAUGCUCCUGAUGAGAUCAGAGCAGAGCUGGUUAAUUUGCUUGCUGCUUAAGUGGAGUGUAACAACGGAGAUACUACUAGUGGAGUAUUAUUGUUCAAGUUGCUCCAGAUGAGAUCGGUUGCAGCUAUAUAUAGCAGAGUAGAGUACAAAUUUAAGUUGUUUUGUGCUGCUGCCAACAAUUCUGAUAACUCAUUUCGUGUUGUUCCGAAGUGAAAAAGGGAGGGGAUACCUUACCUAGCGUGAAAGGCAGGUUGGGCAUGAAUCAAGCAAAGUUGUAUGCUAUCUACUCCCACCGCUUCUAAAUAUAAGUCUGUCUUUUUUUAGAGAUUCCACCGGAAAGACUACAUUCAGAUUUUUGUAUAUUUAGUUCACUCAUUUUGCUCCAUAUGUAAUUAAUCUAUAAGAAAAACUUAUAUACUCUUUAGGAACGGAGGCAGUAGCAAGGCAGGGACUGGUUGCAUCUACACUUGUAUGCUGAAAACCCCCACAUUUUGCAUCCGGGAGCAGAGCAGAGCGGGAGAUCUGACAGCAGGAGGAGAGGAUAGAGUGGAUGGGGAUUGGUUAC
rnacentral:lncRNA from 1 species